rnacentral:rRNA from 1 species
CAUUAUCGAAACCUGCCCAGGNAGAACGACCCGCGAACUCGUUGUUAUAUCUUUGUGCGUAGGAGGGAUGAAGGGCCUGAGUGUCGUUCCCCUCUUGCGUUGGUGUUGGGAUGCAGCCCUGCUAUCCCCUCCCCAUGAACAAACCCCGGCGCAAGACGCGCCAAGGAAUCUGAAUAGUAAAAGAAGGUACGAGCCCCCGUUUCGGUCCGGAGACGGAGUCCGUAAGGGGUGGUCUUGUAUUUUUUUAAACCUGAACGACUCUCGGCAACGGAUAUCUCGGCUCUCGCAUCGAUGAAGAACGUAGCGAAAUGCGAUACUUGGUGUGAAUUGCAGAAUCCCGUGAACCAUCGAGUUUUUGAACGCAAGUUGCGCCCAAAGCCUUCGGGCCGAGGGCACGUCUGCCUGGGUGUCAUGCAUCGUUGCCCCCAACCCCAACCCUUAAAAAAAGGGUUGAUGAACGGUUGGGGCGGAAGUUGGUCUCCCGUGCACUCAUGUUUGUUCGCGGUUGGCCCAAACACGAGUUCUUGAUGGCCAGGAGCCACGACGAGCGGUGGUUGAAAAGACCUUCGAGGAUCGUCGUGCGUUGGCCGAGAAAUCAAGUGCUCACGGACCCUUUAGAAAAUCCAAACGNGACCNCAGUNANGC